rnacentral:RNase_P_RNA from 1 species
GAGUCGGCCGGGCGGUCGCGGCGCCGCGGCGUCGAGGAAAGUCCGGACUCCACAGGGCAGGGUGGUGGGUAACGCCCACCCGGGGUGACCCGCGGGACAGUGCCACAGAAAACAGACCGCCCUGGAACGCGGUGGGCGACCACCGGCCGCCAGGGUAAGGGUGAAACGGUGGUGUAAGAGACCACCAGCGCCCCAGGUGACUGGGGCGGCUCGGUAAACCCCACCCGGAGCAAGACCAAGAAGGGCCUUCGGGCCCGCGGACGCCGUUCGAGCGUUGCCCGCGCGAGGCGUCCGGGUAGGUUGCACGGCUCUGCCUCCGGGCAGGCCGAAGGCGGUUGGCAACAGCCGUCGCAGAUGGAUGAUCGCCGGCCCAUGCGGUCACAGAAUCCGGCUUAUAGGCCGGCUCGUC